UCAGAAGCCCACCAAACAGACGGGGAAGUAGGGACAGGUGAGCUAGACCGGAUAGUGGGGCACCACCCUGUCCCUGGGAACCCCAUGACUGCCUCGUCUCCAUCCCCUCUAAAAUGCCAGGUCCACAAAACCACGGUGAGAUGCCACCGCACACCCAUUGGGAUGGCUACCAUCAAAACACAACAGAAAAUUACAAGUGUCUGCAAGGAAGUGGAGAAGCCGGAGCCCUUGUGCACUGCUGACGGGAAUGUGAAUGGUGCAGUCGCUGUAGGAAAUGGUCGGUGAGUCCUCAGGUGGCAUGGUGAUCCCAUAGGCAGUUCACACGAGCAGGAGGUGGGACACUCAAGCAUCCAUCCACCGAUGAAUGGAGACACAGAAUGUUCCACAAAAUGGAACAUUACUCAGCCUUAAAAAGGAAGGAAGUUCUGAGACAUGCUACAACACAAAGGAACCAGGAGGACAUCAUGCUGCGUGAACGAAGCCGGUCCCAAGAGGACAAAUGCCGUAUGGUUCCACGUGCACAAGGAGGCCAAACGCUGCCUUGUGAGUGUGGCAUUCCUGGGGCACAUCUGCCAUAUAGCAUCACUGCAUAAUAACGUCCAACAGGAGCAUAUUGCCAGGACACAUUCUCUGGGCGUGAACAAAAAAAACAAACCUGUGGCUAGUACUUCAGUCAGUGAAUUGGCAUUCGAAAGCGUGUCGUCAUUAGUACAGACGUCAGCGGUGAAUGAGAAAGCAAAGAACCCGUGGCUGCACCUAAUAAAAGGCCGGCAGGGAGAUAAA
rnacentral:lncRNA from 1 species